CUCAGAUUGAACGCUGGCGGCAGGCCUAACACAUGCAAGUCGAACGGUAACAGGAAGCAGCUUGCUGCUCGCUGACGAGUGGCGGACGGGUGAGUAAUGUCUGGGAAACUGCCUGAUGGAGGGGGAUAACUACUGGAAACGGUAGCUAAUACCGUAUAACGUCGCAAGACCAAAGAGGGGGACCUUCGGGCCUCUUGCCAUCAGAUGUGCCCAGAUGGGAUUAGCUAGUUGGUGGGGUAACGGCUCACCAAGGCGACGAUCCCUAGCUGGUCUGAGAGGAUGACCAGCCACACUGGAACUGAGACACGGUCCAGACUCCUACGGGAGGCAGCAGUGGGGAAUAUUGCACAAUGGGCGCAAGCCUGAUGCAGCCAUGCCGCCGUGUAUGAAGAAGGCCUUCGGGUUGUAAAGUACUUUCAGCGGGGAGGAAGGUGUUGUGGUUAAUAACCGCAGCAAUUGACGUUACCCGCAGAAGAAGCACCGGCUAACUCCGUGCCAGCCGCCGC
rnacentral:rRNA from 1 species